UACAGAGGUGGCAAGCGUUGUUCGGAAUUACUGGGCGUAAAGGGCGCGUAGGCGGCCUUCUAAGUCAGACGUGAAAUCCCCCGGCUUAACCUGGGAACUGCGUCUGAUACUGGGAGGCUUGAGUAUGGGAGAGGGAUGUAGAAUUCCAGGUGUAGCGGUGAAAUGCGUAGAUAUCGAGAGGAACACCUGCGGCGAAGGCGGGUUGCUGGGCUGACACUGACGCUGAGGCGCGAAAGCUAGGGGAGCGAACAGG
rnacentral:rRNA from 1 species